rnacentral:rRNA from 1 species
UGAGUACGAGCUGCUACGGCAGCGAAGUGGGUGAUGUCAAGCUUCCAAGAAAAGCCCUAUACCCGUUAAGGCAUGAUGGCCUGUACCCGAAACCGACACAGGUGGGGUGGUAGAGAAUACCGAGGGGCGCGAGAUAACUCUCUCUAAGGAACUCGGCAAAAUGGCCCCGUAACUUCGGGAGAAGGGGUGCCACCGCAAGGUGGUCGCAGUGAAGAGGCCCAGGCGACUGUUUACCAAAAACACAGGUCUCCGCUAAGUCGCAAGACGAUGUAUGGGGGCUGACGCCUGCCCAGUGCCGGAAGGUUAAGGAAGCUGGUCAGCGUAAGCGAAGCUAGCGACUGAAGCCCCGGUGAACGGCGGCCGUAACUAUAACGGUCCUAAGGUAGCGAAAUUCCUUGUCGGGUAAGUUCCGACCCGCACGAAAGGCGUAACGAUCUGGGCGCUGUCUCGGAGAGAGGCUCGGCGAAAUAGAAUUGUCUGUGAAGAUGCGGACUACGUGCACCCGGACAGAAAGACCCUAUGAAGCUUUACUGUAGCUUGGUAUUGUGCUCGGGCUCGGAAUGCGCAGGAUAGGUGGGAGGCUAUGAACCAUUGCUUGUGGGUGAUGGUGAGCCACUGGUGAGAUACCACUCUUUCCGAGCUAGAGUUCUAACAGCCACCCGUUAUCCGGGGGCUGGACAGUAUCAGGUGGGCAGUUUGACUGGGGCGGUCGCCUCCUAAAAGGUAACGGAGGCGCGCAAAGGUUUGCUCAGGCUGGUUGGAAAUCAGCCGACGAGUGUAAAAGCAGAAGCAAGCUUGACUGUGAGACCUACAAGUCGAACAGGGAGGAAACUCGGCUUUAGUGAUCCGACGGUUCUGCGUGGAAGGGCCGUCGCUCAACGGAUAAAAGUUACUCUAAGGAUAACAGGCUGAUCUCCCCCAAGAGUUCACAUCGACGGGGAGGUUUGGCACCUCGAUGUCGGCUCAUCGCAACCUGGGGCUGAAGUCGGUCCCAAGGGUUGGGCUGUUCGCCCAUUAAAGCGGUACGCGAGCUGGGUUCAGAACGUCGUGAGACAGUUCGGUCCAUAUCCGGUGCAUGCGCAGGAAUAUUGAGAGGAUUUCUCCCUAGUACGAGAGGACCGGGAGGAACGCACCUCUGGUGUACCAGUUAUCGUGCCAACGGUAAACGCUGGGUAGCCAUGUGCGGAGAGGAUAACCGCUGAAAGCAUCUAAGUGGGAAGCCCACCUCAAGAUGAGUAUUCCCAUGGGUUAACCCAGUAAGGUCACGGGAAGAACACCCGUUGAUAGGCUCUACGUGGAAGCGCAGUAAUGUGUGAAGCGGAGGAGUACUAAUAGACCGAGGGCUUGACC